rnacentral:rRNA from 1 species
UACGUAGGGUGCGAGCGUUGUCCGGAAUUAUUGGGCGUAAAGGGCUCGUAGGCGGUUUGUCACGUCGGGAGUGAAAACUCGGGGCUUAACUCCGAGCCUGCUUCCGAUACGGGCUGACUAGAGGUAUGCAGGGGAGAACGGAAUUCCUGGUGUAGCGGUGAAAUGCGCAGAUAUCAGGAGGAACACCGGUGGCGAAGGCGGUUCUCUGGGCAUUACCUGACGCUGAGGCGCGACAGCGUGGGGAGCAAACAGG